CGCACUGAUACAUCCUAAAGCCAUAUGGAAGAACACAAGCUCUUAUCCCGUGAUCGAUAGCAGAGAUUCACUGCCAAAGUAAAAGGAAAGCUUUUGUCCCGUUCAUGGUGCUGCUCUUUAGCACCCAUUUCCUAUCUCCUAUAUAAAAUAAGCUACAAGUAAUAUUGGUUGUGGUUUGUUUCUUGGUGAUGUAAAUCAUAUCAGACUUGAGAUAGCUACCAUCUUAUGGUUGGGAAUGGGAUGAAGAUCUUCUUUGCCAGGGACUUGCAUUAAAUGAUGAUUUGCAGCAUGUCCUAUCCAAACAUGAUGCUCUUAAUGCAGGUGUUGCUGUUCAUAUGUAGAAAACAAAGUCUCUUCAGGCACUUAAUGAAGAUAUUCCUCCUCUUCAUGGACAAGCACUCUGCAAGUCCUAUUGCUCAAGGAUUCAGGAGGCUUGUCAAUCUUUGAUGCCAUUGGUACCUUCUGUCAUCAACUAUUUGUAAUUAAUGAUACAAAUUUGAGAUUGUUGUUUCUAGUUUUCUUGAUGUAAUCUGUUUUUGAGAGACUUUAUGUACUUGGGUAUGCAAAAGGAAGUUUGUAAAUUAACGCUUUUAGCGCUCAAGGGGAAAUGGAAAAAUAGACUUUUA